GUCUGCAAUUAUAAGUACAGAAGAUUGCGUUAAUACUAAGCGAUAACAAUCAAGCAGAAAUAUUUUCUAUCGAUAGAUUCUCGUAACGCGCGUGUAAGCGUAAUUCGUAUUUUUAUAUCAUCACGAUGACUUUUUUCGUUAAUGUUCGUUUUCCAAACGAAGCUCGCGUGAAUCGAGCCAAAUUUCUAAUUAUACCUAAUUACGUUACGCUAAUAGGUUAAACUUUAAAUAAAAAUAACAGUAACUGUACUCAAAGCAUGGUGCAAAAGAGAAAGAGAAGGUUUGCAUAGUAAGUUAAUUUUACGAACACGAUAAAGAUGAGAAUAGUUUGUGGAAAGUAAAAGGCACGAAUCAUCGCUCGUUAAUGCUACGAUAUUUUCUGACCUGAAAUGAUACGCACAGAUUCAUCUUAGUUUCUCAUCCGAAUUAUUACAUUUCUAUAGGUAUAAGAUUAUAAAAAUAUGUUCUCUACGAGCAUCGAAUAAAUUUGCGAAAAUGAUAUAUAUGGUGGUGGUUGGUAACUGGUGGUGCAAGCGAAAAGGGGAUGAUUCUACGCGAAAAAACAAGUCGAAAAUAUAGAAUAACAAUUUUUCGUCCGAGGCUUUGUUUUCGAGAAAAUCGACUUUGAAUUUUCGCUCGGUACGCGUGCUGUACGUUACAACGGAUCUCGCUGUAGAUCGUUGUCUCGAUGGAAAAAUUAAAAAAAAAAAAUUAAGCUAUCGAAAAUAUAGAAUAAAAAUUUUUUUUUUAAUUUUUU